GUGUCAGCAGCCGCGGUAAGACGUAGGGGGCGAGCGUUGUCCGGAUUUAUUGGGCGUAAAGCGCGCGUAGGCGGUUCGUUAAGUCGGGUGUGAAAACCCGGGGCUCAACCCCGGGCCUGCAUCCGAUACUGGCGGACUCGAGGCAGACAGGGGAGAGUGGAAUUCCCGGUGUAGCGGUGAAAUGCGCAGAUAUCGGGAGGAACACCGGUGGCGAAGGCGGCUCUCUGGGUCUGUCCUGACGCUCAGGCGCGAAAGCUAGGGGAGCAAACAGGAUUAGAUACCCGCGUAGUCC
rnacentral:rRNA from 1 species